AUACGGAGGGUGCAAGCGUUACUCGGAAUCACUGGGCGUAAAGCGCGCGCAGGCGGCUAUUUAAGUUGGAUGUGAAAGCCUACGGCUCAACCGUAGAACUGCAUCCAAAACUAUUUAGCUAGAGUGUGGGAGAGGAAGAUGGAAUUAGUUGUGUAGGGGUAAAAUCCGUAGAGAUAACUAGGAAUACCAAAAGCGAAGGCAAUCUUCUGGAACGCUACUGACGCUGAGGCGCGAAAGCGUGGGGAGCAAACAGGAUUAGAAACCCUAGUAGUCC
rnacentral:rRNA from 1 species